UGCAUCUGAAUGGGAGAGAAGAAAAAGAGAGGACAAAUCAAACAGUGGAUACAGCAUAUGAAAAGCUCCAUGCUGCUGGAUUAAGCUUCAGUACAUCAAGUCUGCUGCUCCCUGAAGCAUUCAUAACAUAUACAUCAAAUAGUGCAUUUGGAGAAUUAAGGAGACAGUUUCAUAUGAGAAGAUCCAUCCCCUAAGAUGUGCAGGGACCAACACAAGACUGCAACUAUGCCUUCGGACAAGUUGAAGAUAUACUGGGCUGCUGGCUGAUAGGUUGGUUGAAUUUCUGCUUGCUUGCUUAAUGUAGCUUCUGCCAGUUUAUAGACAUUUAUUGAAUACAUUCAGAUUGGUAAGAGAUUUAUAAUGUUAAAUUGACAGAUUAUUAUCCAGCCCUACACACUAAUACUUGUGUUUUGGAGGUACUUUGCAAUAGGUAAUGCAAAAUGGCAAGUCUCUAUUUAAAAAUCAGCACAAUUGUGUUUUCAUGAUGAUACUUUGUUUUUAUAUAAUGAACAAGGCUGGGUAUCAAACCUUAUGUUUAAGGUCUGACAGAAAUGUGUCUGUGGACUAGAAUAUAAAAAAUUGUUGAGCACUGAAAAAUGGCAUCUAAUCUCUGGUCAGAUUCAUAAUCUUGUUUACACGUGAUCAGUUAGUUCCCGAUUUUAAUCAAAAUUUUGCCAAUUUUAAACUGUAUUUAUUUGCCAACACAUGCCAAAACUUCUGUGUUGCCUUUUGUGAAAUCUUAUUAAAUGUCCCUUCUGUUAAAACCA